UCCCAUCGUUUCCUCAAACUUUGCUCAGUCAGCAAGGGGACUUCACUGACUGCGCCCGCACUGAUCACAAGAUCACUGGUGAGUCACAUGUAUUUAAAAUCCUUUCAUUAUAUUCAGCUGUUUUUUGUCUAACUAUUAGGAGAAGUAUGACACUAAAAAGAACAUAACAGACAUGGACUAUGUUUAACUUGUACUUAUGAUGUGUGACAGACUGAGAGCCCAUGACUGAGGAAACAGCUAGAGGGGAUCCUGCUGGAGGCUCUGGGCCAGAUACAGGGGCGACUGAGAAAGGGGAUGAGCCGAGAGGGAAAUGGGCCAACAAAUGGGAGUUCAUCCUCGCCAUGACUGGACAGAUGAUUAACCUCAGGACUACUUGGCGUUUCCCCUUUGUCUGCUACAGAAAUGGAGGAGGGGUAGGGAUUGCGUCCCAAGUGAUUCUGGCCUACCUGAACAUCUGCCACAUUGUCACCAUGGCCUGGGCUCUCGUCUACCUGUAUUACUCCUUUAAAAGCACGCUGCACUGGUCGACGUGUGACAACCAGUGGAACAGUGCUGCAUGUCACAGGGGCCCCCAUUUUUGGUCGAGCUACAACCUCACUUCACUUGAUGAUUACACUGACGAUUACAGUGCUGAGUUUGAGAACGAGAGGAGGACAUCUGAACAGGAGUUCUGGCUGUGAGAAACACACACACACACACUCACACACUUAUCUUCCUAAAACAUGUAAAACAGCUUUGACAGGAAUAUCACCUCCCCAGCAUGCUUUUCUUUGGGUGGAACAUUUCUCCCUGCCUCCAAGAUAACAAGAGGCCAUCUCUGCUGUUGGGGAGCUGAGUGAACAUGAUGUUAAUGAUGGAAAAAAAAAAAAAAAAAAUCUGUAGAUAUCACGUGAUAACCUCCCGAUUUGCUGUGAGAACAGAACAGAACAUAACAGGAAAUCGACUGUGCUGCACGAUGAGAACAGUAUGUGCUCUUUUCUCUGCAGAUUCUGUUAAAGUCACCCAAGCCGGCCAUCUGUAUUCAUGGUUCUGAGUGUUAAGGGUUUCACAUGACAUGACCCUGGGUCCGGUGAACUGGGAUUUGGCUGCGUGUCUCCUCCUCGCCUGGAUUGUGUGUUACCUCUGCAUCUUUCGAGGAAUCAAAUCUGCAGG